CAUGCAGUCGACGGUAACAGGCCGCAGGUGCUGACGAGUGGCGAACGGGUGAGUAAUGCAUCGGAACGUGCCCAGUCGUGGGGGAUAACUGCUCGAAAGAGCAGCUAAUACCGCAUACGACCUGAGGGUGAAAGCGGGGGACCGAAAGGCCUCGCGCGAUUGGAGCGGCCGAUGUCAGAUUAGGUAGUUGGUGGGGUAAAGGCCUACCAAGCCGACGAUCUGUAGUUGGUCUGAGAGGACGACCAGCCACACUGGGACUGAGACACGGCCCAGACUCCUACGGGAGGCAGCAGUGGGGAAUUUUGGACAAUGGGGGCAACCCUGAUCCAGCAAUGCCGCGUGCAGGAAGAAGGCCUUCGGGUUGUAAACUGCUUUUGUCAGGGAAGAAAUCCUGUGGGUUAAUACCUCGUGGGGAUGACGGUACCUGAAGAAUAAGCACCGGCUAACUACGUGCCAGCAGCCGCGGUAAUACGUAGGGUGCGAGCGUUAAUCGGAAUUACUGGGCGUAAAGCGUGCGCAGGCGGUUUUGUAAGACAGAGGUGAAAUCCCCGGGCUCAACCUGGGAACUGCCUUUGUGACUGCAAGGCUGGAGUACGGCAGAGGGGGAUGGAAUUCCGCGUGUAGCAGUGAAAUGCGUAGAUAUGCGGAGGAACACCGAUGGCGAAGGCAAUCCCCUGGGCCUGUACUGACGCUCAUGCACGAAGCGUGGGGAGCAAACAGGAUUAGAUACCCU
rnacentral:rRNA from 1 species